CCUAACCCAUGCCAAGUCGAGCGGGAUGAGUGGAGCUUGCUCCAUGAUUCAGCGGCGGACGGGUGAGUAAUGCCUAGGAAUCUGCCUGGUAGUGGGGGACAACGUUUCGAAAGGAACGCUAAUACCGCAUACGUCCUACGGGAGAAAGUGGGGGAUCUUCGGACCUCACGCUAUCAGAUGAGCCUAGGUCGGAUUAGCUAGUUGGCGAGGUAAAGGCUCACCAAGGCGACGAUCCGUAACUGGUCUGAGAGGAUGAUCAGUCACACUGGAACUGAGACACGGUCCAGACUCCUACGGGAGGCAGCAGUGGGGAAUAUUGGACAAUGGGCGAAAGCCUGAUCCAGCCAUGCCGCGUGUGUGAAGAAGGUCUUCGGAUUGUAAAGCACUUUAAGUUGGGAGGAAGGGCAGUAAGUUAAUACCUUGCUGUUUUGACGUUACCGACAGAAUAAGCCCCGGCUAACUUCGUGCCAGCAGCCGCGGUAAUACGAAGGGUGCAAGCGUUAAUCG
rnacentral:rRNA from 1 species